UACACUUUAACUUAUAUGUGCAUUUAGCAUGAAAUACACACAUAAAAAAAAUAGUUGUCCACCCCCGUUUAAAACACAAAUAACUCGUGUUUAAUAUUACAAUAAUAUCCAGACAAUUUAGCGAGUCCAGAUCUUAAAGCUGCGUAAAUGAUGGGGACCCUACAAACGUUAGAGAAUAUUAACAGUUAUACGAUAUACAUUAAAACGCUAAUAUUAUCUAACAGUUAUACGAAAUAUAUACACUUUAACUUAUAUGUGCAUUUAGCAUGAAAUACAUACCUAAAAGAAAUCGUUGUCCACCCCCGUUUAAAACACAAAUAACUCGUGUUUAAUAUUACAAUAAUAUCACAAUAAUAUUCAAACAAAUCUUAAAAUAUAUUUUUCACUUACUCACCUCCAGAAAUAUCCAUGAGGAGGGCUUCACAGACUAUCCUUUGUUAUCUGUCCUGGUACUGCUGCCAGGUGUUUGGAGUUAGGGUAAGGCCGUUAGUACAAAAAACGUAGAAUAGCAUCUGUUUCAACGGCUCUUCCGAAGUCGUUCAGAGUGCACACUUUUUGUUUUUUAAUAUCUAAAUAUUAGUGGGUAUGUGGUUAUUUUGACUUACACCGACAAUUGUGUGAUGGUGAAGGGCUACGUAAAGGACAGGGCGCAGUUUGCUUCUGAGAAUCCCUGUCUAACAGUCGCUUACCAAUCACCAGUCCAGUAGCCUUCAGAAAAAUCCAUUAGGAGGGAUUCACAGACUCUUUUUUUUAAUCGGUCCUGGCAGCUAAAUAUUCGGGGCUGUUGGCCUGUGGGUUUGCACUAAAGCUGUGCUAACAUGGUGUUAAAGUAUAUGCUCCACUAGACUCGCUCUGCGUUCGUGUCCCUAACUAGAGAAUGUACGGAAUGAGUUUACAGGGCCGUGGUGGCAUUUUCUCGGGAGAUGUCAUGUUUGCAACAGCCUGUAUAUUUGGUUUAGAGAACAAAGGCAGUGAAUUCAAACAACAGGAGGGGAUGUCGAGACAUUUUGUCUACAACCGAUCCCCUACAGAGAUAAAGUGCAGAUGCCUCAAGGCAAGGUUUUAAUUCAACAUUUUUACCCCCACACACACUCCUACUGGUCCGUCACACGCACACUCAAGCACGCACCCUGAUUUUCCGUGUCUUUUUUUUCUUCACGACAGACCGGGGUGAUGAUGUAAAAUACAUUUCCCUAUCAUUAAAGGGUGAGAUACAGUUUUAAAUUCCUUUUAACUUUUUUAAGACAUGUUAGAAUUAAUUACCAAAUUUGACUAAUAUUUAAACAUGCAUCACGAGUGUUUUAUGUAAAAACAUUGGAGGCCUACAGUUGUACAUCAUUACAAACUUUAAUAACCAGUAAUGUUUCUAACAUAACAUUGUAGGAAAGACUACAAAUAAUACAUUAUUUUUUAUAAGACCAGGGCGUGAGAGAAAAGACAGUUUCUCCUUUCGUUAAAGGGUGAGAAACAUUUUUAAAACCAAUGACUUAAUUCAAAAUAUUUAGUACAUACAUUUUAACACACGUUAUAAUUCAACAUGUUUACUAUUUGUUACAGAUAAAGGGGCUGGUUAGCCCUGACCAUUAUCCGUUUCCAAUUCACCAUUGCAAAGACGCUUGCCCGCUCCAUCGAAGCUCCGGACGUUUUCACUCCAGAGAAAGAUCCUCCUUCUGGUUUGUGAGUCCUGGGCUGGAACAAGUUUGAAUCCUGUUGGUACUUCGUCUCUUCUGAGAGAAAAACCUGGAGUGAGAGCAGACAGGACUGUGUGGAGAGAGGAGCUGACCUGGUGAUUGUAAACAGCAGAGAGAAACAGAGAUUUCUAUUUGCCCUUAACAAGAGAGCCUGGAUCGGUCUGACUGACAGAGAGACUGAGGGGUCCUGGAAAUGGGUUGACGGCACACCACUGAUAACAAGUUACUGGACAUUCAAGCAGCCUGAUAAUGGACGAAGUGUUUCAACCUUUCCGGCGGAGGACUGUGUUGAAUUACACAAUAUACAAGACCAGCCUGAAAAGACAUGGAAUGAUUUAAAUUGUGCAGAAAAACAUAUCUGUAUUUGUGAGUUGUGUAACAAACAAUAACCUCCUGUAACAACCCAUCCACCAUCUCCCCUUUCAUUCUGUCUCCAUCCCUACUCGUUUGUUUGUUUCGUUCUGAACAUAUGAAUCAAAUUACCAUUUACUUCCUGGGAUGCAUUAGUAGCUUCCUGUCUUCAGUCGUUAAAUGAUGGACACAUCACAGACAUGAUGUGGUGAUUGAGACACAACAACACUAAAAUUAAACAGCUGCAUUAGAACAGAUAGAAGGGACCAGUCUGAGGUUGUUAAGUCAGUACAGUCGACUCCUGAUAGGUGCACAUCAGAUAAGUGCAAGACCUGGGUUCAAAUACAACUUGAAAUCUUUCAAAACCUUUGAGUGUUUGCUUUAGCCUGCCUUCAGAGCCAGGUGGGUACUGGGGCUUUUCUGUUGCAACAGAAGUAUUUUACAUAGUUCAUACAGAGAGUCAUUCUGGCAGUUCUCCUUAGACACUGGAUCCAGUGGGGUGAAUUCAUGAUUUUUCUCUGUGCUCAUUUCUAUAAUGUUGAUGCCUUGAUUUAUUGGGUCUCGUUGUCUCCGGAUUCACAGACACCCAAAUAUACCCUAUGUAUAUUUUGAAAUGGCCUAUUGAUUAACGAAACAAUUAUUUUGUGCUAUAUUUUGCCAUUUUCCCUGGAACAAGUUAUUAUACAUUGUGUCUCAAUGGGCCACUAGGCUAUAAAUAGGAUCUAUGUGCAAUGGUCAGGUCACUCUAAUGAAGAUGUCAGCUUGACGUUGAAAUGUCAGUCACCUGUUCGCAUCCUGUACAAUGCAUUAAUGUGAGCAAUAAGAAAUCAAUCUGUCUUUA